rnacentral:rRNA from 1 species
AGUGAACGCUGGCGGUAGGCCUAACACAUGCAAGUCGAACGGCAGCACAGUAAGAGCUUGCUCUUACGGGUGGCGAGUGGCGGACGGGUGAGGAAUACAUCGGAAUCUACUUUUUCGUGGGGGAUAACGUAGGGAAACUUACGCUAAUACCGCAUACGACCUACGGGUGAAAGCAGGGGAUCUUCGGACCUUGCGCGAUUGAAUGAGCCGAUGUCGGAUUAGCUAGUUGGCGGGGUAAAGGCCCACCAAGGCGACGAUCCGUAGCUGGUCUGAGGGGAUGAUCAGCCACACUGGAACUGAGACACGGUCCAGACUCCUACGGGAGGCAGCAGUGGGGAAUAUUGGAUAAUGGGCGCAAGCCUGAUCCAGCCAUACCGCGUGGGUGAAGAAGGCCUUCGGGUUGUAAAGCCCUUUUGUUGGGAAAGAAAAGCAGCAGGUUAAUACCCCGCUGUUCUGACGGUACCCAAAGAAUAAGCACCGGCUAACUUCGUG